UACGGAGGGUGCAAGCGUUGUCCGGAUUUAUUGGGUUUAAAGGGUGCGUAGGCGGCUUUUUAAGUCAGUGGUGAAAGACAACAGCUCAACUGUUGCAGUGCCAUUGAUACUGAAGAGCUUGAGUACAGAUGAGGUAGGCGGAAUUUAUGGUGUAGCGGUGAAAUGCAUAGAUACCAUAAAGAACACCUAUUGCGAAGGCAGCUUACUAGGCUGUAACUGACGCUGAGGCACGAAAGUGUGGGGAUCAAACAGG
rnacentral:rRNA from 1 species